UACGUAGGGGGCAAGCGUUAUCCGGAUUUACUGGGUGUAAAGGGAGCGUAGACGGCAGCACAAGUCUGGAGUGAAAUCCCAUGGCUUAACCAUGGAACUGCUUUGGAAACUGUGCAGCUGGAGUACAGUAGAGGUGGGCGGAAUUCGUGGUGUAGCGGUGAAAUGCUUAGAUAUCACGAAGAACUCCGAUUGCGAAGGCAGCUCACUGGACUGCAACUGACACUGAGGCUCGAAAGUGUGGGUAUCAAACAGG
rnacentral:rRNA from 1 species